AGAUCUUCAGGAUGAAAGCAAGUAAAAUGAGAAGAUAAUCUGAAUCCAAACAAACUAACAUAAGCACCAAUAAAGGAAACUCAAGAUCACCUUGACAAUGAUUGCUCCAUUUGAACCAUUUGAGAGAGAACAGCAGAGCAAUUUUACCAAGGACUAAAUAGUUUCAAAUGGGCUGAGAUACUGAUUCCAGACAGCCAAAUGACCAUUAAAACAGAGAUGGGCGGUUGUGGAAUAUGAAACUAAUUUGAGAAAUGUGUAUUUUGACAUUUUUUAUUACACAAGCAGUCAUACACACUCUAACAUUUCCUUUGAGAUAUGGGGAAAAGUUAUUCUUGCCACAGAAAUGAAAGGGCAGUUGAAGAGGGAAACUCAUUUAUAUAGAUUUUCAAGUGACUAUGAUAAAACCAACAAUACCAAAAUGAUAUAAGUGGGGGAAACGGUAUGUGCAGGAAGCCACUUAGCAUCUGACCUUUGCCAGUCUAAUCAUCUCAGAGACACCAGGAGUCGACACAAAAUCAAGUAAACACACAGAGCUGGGAAAAAUUAGAAAAUGUUAAAAAGCUACAUUGCACUUCAAAUCAAGUAAUAGUAUAGUAAUAUCUUGGUACCUAAAAUCAUAUCUAGGCAAAAUAUUUAAAAUUCUUUUGGAUAAUUUGAACUUGUUGUGUUAAAUAAAGAAUAACAUUGCUUAGCUAUGUAGAUUUCAAUCUGCAGCAGUUUGGUUGAAUAUAGUUCCUGAUGUAGCACAUAGAAACCAAGUAAUACACAUUUGCAUAAUUAAUAAAAUUAUAUAUUUAGUUUAAUUUCAUAUAACAUUCUAAUAAGGCAAUAUAUUAUUACAAUUUUAUAGCACAGUAUUUCAUUGUUGGAAGUGAAAUCAUUUACCUUAACAUAUAUUUUGUAUAAUGAAUCAAGUCAUUAUUAAAAGAAGGGGUCAAGGGAUCUUACAGGUUUUAAACAAGCUGUUGUUAAAUACACUGUGAAUUAAAUUUGCAAGUAUCAAGCAUUUGUUUGAUUAUAUUCUUGGAACACUAUAGCUCAACACAAAAAUGGAAAACAAAAUGUACAAAACCAAAAAGUAGUACUAGAAGUGCUCCUGCUCUUGAAUUUUUAUUAGUUUCCUAACUAAAUAUUCAAUUCUAGCGGUAUAAUUCCAAUAGUCUAUAGAUUCUAUAUAUGGCUGAGAAAACUCAUUUGUAAAGUCUUUUUUUGUAGCAUAAAAAUAACUCUUGGUCCCAUUUAUCUGUACCUUCCUUUUUUUUUUUUUACAAAAAUAUGAAGUUGUAGUUGAAAUUGUAUCUAUACAGUUCUUGCCAAUUAUACUAUUAUUCACAUGCCACUUCAAGAAUGUCACCUUACAGUUCUGUGGUUAUCAUUUGCAAAGUCUGCAAUGCCUUUGCCUUAGAGGCUAUGCAAAUUUUUGUUAGAUAUAAGCCUUCUCAUUUCUGAUUUCAGGAAGUCAACAUAACCCAUCUGCUGCUUUCACUUCCCAGCUGUAUGCAACUAUGCCAAAUUGCUCUAAGUUGAGCUUUAUACUGUUUUCGUAGGCUAUCUUUUACCCACCGUGCUUACAUUUUCCUUGUGUAAUUCACCCUAGACACAGGUGCAGAUGGCAUGUAGAGAAGAGCAAUGCAUUUGGGAACAUGUAAUAUUUGGCUUGCAAGGGCUUUGACAGAACUUCGAAUUAUAGUUCUAAAAAGUGAAUUAAUUUAGUGAAG
rnacentral:lncRNA from 1 species